AACGCUAGCUACAGGCUUAACACAUGCAAGUCGAGGGGCAGCGCAGUGUAGCAAUACAUGGGCGGCGACCGGCGCACGGGUGCGUAACGCGUAUCCAACCUUCCCGAUACUCAGGGAUAGCCUUCCGAAAGGGAGAUUAAUACCUGAUGGUGUUUCAAUUCCGCAUGUUAACGAAACUAAAGAUUUAUCGGUAUCGGAUGGGGAUGCGUGACAUUAGAUAGUAGGCGGGGUAACGGCCCACCUAGUCUACGAUGUCUAGGGGUUCUGAGAGGAAGGUCCCCCACACUGGAACUGAGACACGGUCCAGACUCCUACGGGAGGCAGCAGUGAGGAAUAUUGGUCAAUGGUCGGAAGACUGAACCAGCCAAGUAGCGUGAAGGAUGAAGGUUCUAUGGAUUGUAAACUUCUUUUAUACGGGAAUAAAACCUCCCACGUGUGGGAGCUUGUAUGUACCGUAUGAAUAAGCAUCGGCUAACUCCGUGCCAGCAGCCGCGGUAAUACGGAGGAUGCGAGCGUUAUCCGGAUUUAUUGGGUUUAAAGGGAGCGUAGACGGGGGAUUAAGUCAGUUGUGAAAGGCUGCGGCUCAACCGCAGCACUGCAGUUGAUACUGGUUCCCUUGAGUGCGGUUGAGGUGUAUGGAAUUCGUGGUGUAGCGGUGAAAUGCUUAGAUAUCACGAAGAACUCCGAUUG
rnacentral:rRNA from 1 species